UGGCGACCGGCGCACGGGUGCGUAACGCGUAUGCAACCUACCCAUAACAGGGGGAUAACACUGAGAAAUUGGUACUAAUACCCCAUAACAUCAGGACCGGCAUCGGUUCUGGUUGAAAACUCCGGUGGUUAUAGAUGGGCAUGCGUUGUAUUAGCUGGUUGGUGAGGUAACGGCUCACCAAGGCAACGAUACAUAGGGGGACUGAGAGGUUAACCCCCCACAUUGGUACUGAGACACGGACCAA
rnacentral:rRNA from 1 species